rnacentral:lncRNA from 1 species
ACCGGACGCGCCCGCUUCUCGCUGGAGUGCGCACCGAGCGGCAGUGACUUCGCCGCUGCUGUAGUUCCCCGGCUGGAUGCGGUGACUGGUGCCAGUGCUCAGGCGCCCGCUGCCCUUGACCUCCCGCCCCGCGAGCCCUAACUCAGCGCAGGAGGACCGGCUGCCGCCGCCGCCGCCGCCAGAUCCACACAACUUAAAGAUCUGCUGUCGAGUGAAUGGGGAAGUGGUCCAGAGCAGCAACACCAACCAGAUGGUAUUCAAGACAGAGGACCUGAUAGCCUGGGUGUCCCAGUUUGUUACCUUUUACCCAGGGGAUGUCAUCCUGACUGGGACCCCCCCACCUCCACCCAGGUGUCGGUGUAUUCAGGAAACCUCCUGUCUUUCUCAAGGUCUCUGAAGGUCCAGACAGCACUGAUGGCGAGCUUUGGGUCCGCACACUCUGGAAAGAAGAGAGAAGUGAAGGCUCUAGGUAGGGAGAACAGAGAGCCACUGGGCACAGGCUUCUCUCCUCUUGUUUAAAGAAGCCCAGGGAGGGAUAGAGCUCUGACUGGACAGAAGACUGUACUCUGCAGCCUGCCUUCCUAGAGUUGGGUUGUCACUGUCCUGCAGGGGGCAGCAGCCACCAGCAAACACCACUGCCUGCAGGAGCCUGGGCUGACUGGUUGGGACUCACCGAAGAUCCCUUCUUCCUGGGCGGUGGCCUGCAGGAACUGGAACAGCUGCUCUGUGUAGCCCAACUCUGCAGAAGAGAGAAGACCUAGACCUGGCACCCAGCACAGACACAGCCUGCCUCGAGGACUGCAAGGGAACAAGGGCCUCACCAGUAUCGGGCAGCUGGCCCUGGCGGAGGAAGGCGGCAGCCUGUGCAAAGGCCUUGAGCAGCGGGCUGAGCAGGCGGCAGAGGAAAAGAAAGAAAUCUGGGCAGUGUGACUGCUGGCUGAGCUGGAGGGGACAGGCCGGGGUGA